GGACUACUGGGGUUUCUAAUCCCGUUCGCUCCCCUGGCUUUCGCGCCUCAGCGUCAGAAGAGGGCCAGCACGCCGCUUUCGCCACCGGCGUUCCUUCCGAUAUCAACGCAUUUCACCGCUCCACCGGAAGUUCCGCGUGCCCCUACCUCCCUCAAGGCCGCCAGUAUCCCAGGCAAUUCUCCGGUUAAGCCGGAGGAUUUCACCCCGGACUUGGCAGCCCGCCUACGCGCCCUUUAAGCCCAGUGAUUCCGAACAACGUUUGCACGGUUCGUCUUACCGCGGCGGCUGGCAC
rnacentral:rRNA from 3 species